rnacentral:rRNA from 1 species
GACGAACGCUGGCGGCGUGCUUAACACAUGCAAGUCGAACGGAAAGGCCCUGCUUUUGUGGGGUGCUCGAGUGGCGAACGGGUGAGUAACACGUGAGUAACCUGCCCUUGACUUUGGGAUAACUUCAGGAAACUGGGGCUAAUACCGGAUAGGAGCUCCUGCUGCAUGGUGGGGGUUGGAAAGUUUCGGCGGUUGGGGAUGGACUCGCGGCUUAUCAGCUUGUUGGUGGGGUAGUGGCUUACCAAGGCUUUGACGGGUAGCCGGCCUGAGAGGGUGACCGGCCACAUUGGGACUGAGAUACGGCCCAGACUCCUACGGGAGGCAGCAGUGGGGAAUAUUGCACAAUGGGCGGAAGCCUGAUGCAGCAACGCCGCGUGCGGGAUGACGGCCUUCGGGUUGUAAACCGCUUUCGCCUGUGACGAAGCGUGAGUGACGGUAAUGGGUAAAGAAGCACCGGCUAACUACGUGCCAGCAGCCGCGGUGAUACGUAAGGUGCGAGCGUUGUCCGGAUUUAUUGGGCGUAAAGGGCUCGUAGGUGGUUGAUCGCGUCGGAAGUGUAAUCUUGGGGCUUAACCCUGAGCGUGCUUUCGAUACGGGUUGACUUGAGGAAGGUAGGGGAGAAUGGAAUUCCUGGUGGAGCGGUGGAAUGCGCAGAUAUCAGGAGGAACACCAGUGGCGAAGGCGGUUCUCUGGGCCUUUCCUGACGCUGAGGAGCGAAAGCGUGGGGAGCGAACAGGCUUAGAUACCCUGGUAGUCCACGCUGUAAACGGUGGGUACUAGGUGUGGGGUCCAUUCCACGGGUUCCGUGCCGUAGCUAACGCUUUAAGUACCCCGCCUGGGGAGUACGGCCGCAAGGCUAAAACUCAAAGGAAUUGACGGGGCCCCGCACAAGCGGCGGAGCAUGCGGAUUAAUUCGAUGCAACGCGUAGAACCUUACCUGGGUUUGACAUGGAUCGGGAGUGCUCAGAGAUGGGUGUGCCUCUUUUGGGGUCGGUUCACAGGUGGUGCAUGGCUGUCGUCAGCUCGUGUCGUGAGAUGUUGGGUUAAGUCCCGCAACGAGCGCAACCCUUGUUCACUGUUGCCAGCACGUUAUGGUGGGGACUCAGUGGAGACCGCCAGGGUCAACUCGGAGGAAGGUGGGGAUGACGUCAAGUCAUCAUGCCCCUUAUGUCCAGGGCUUCACGCAUGCUACAAUGGCUGGUACAGAGAGUGGCGAGCCUGUGAGGGUGAGCGAAUCUCGGAAAGCCGGUCUCAGUUCGGAUUGGGGUCUGCAACUCGACCUCAUGAAGUCGGAGUCGCUAGUAAUCGCAGAUCAGCAACGCUGCGGUGAAUACGUUCCCGGGGCU